UACGAAGGGGGCUAGCGUUGCUCGGAAUCACUGGGCGUAAAGCGCACGUAGGCGGAUUGUUAAGUCGGGGGUGAAAUCCUGGAGCUCAACUCCAGAACUGCCUUCGAUACUGGCGAUCUCGAGUCCGGGAGAGGUGAGUGGAACUCCGAGUGUAGAGGUGAAAUUCGUAGAUAUUCGGAAGAACACCAGUGGCGAAGGCGGCUCACUGGCCCGGUACUGACGCUGAGGUGCGAAGGCCAGGGGAGCAAACGGG
rnacentral:rRNA from 1 species